rnacentral:lncRNA from 1 species
CUGCCGCCGCCAUGCAGCGGCGCGAACGGGGCGCCCAGCAGCGCGUCCGCGCCGCCGAAGCUCAUCAUGGCCUGAGCAGUGGGGGCUUAUUUGGCCUCCCCAGGAUGGACUGGAGCGUCAGUAGUGCCCGGGUUCAUCACAGGACAGAUACUCAAGACACUCUUAUCACCAUUAGGUGGACUUGGAGGAGCAAAAAACGGGCGCAGUGGCUCCUCAGCAGAGACACUCCUGAAUAUAUAGACAUGGGAACCACCUUCAGCGUCAAAAAAGGAAACAUUCUGCAUGCCCAUAUCCAGAAAAAUCCCCACUCGCUGUAACUUGCGGUCUACGAAGAGGAAAGUCAGCGGCACCGUGCUGGCAGAGAGGCGGCUUCCAUCCCUCAAACUCACAGUCCAGAAUCCACGCUCUGUGGUCAGAUGGAUCCUCCCUUUGCGGUGAACAGAUUCUCUGCAGACUCCCAGGUCCCAUUCUGCGCUUGUUCCCACAUCCACCUCCCAGUAGUGGCGGC